UGAGUAACGCGUGGGUAACCUACCCCAAAGUCCGGGAUAACGGCGGGAAACCGCUGCUAAUACCGGAUGCCUUUACCUUGGGGCAUCUUCAGGUAAAGAAAGGUAACGCUUUGGGAUGGGCCCGCGUCCCAUUAGCUAGUUGGUGAGGUAACGGCUCACCAAGGCGACGAUGGGUAGCCGGCCUGAGAGGGUGGACGGCCACACUGGGACUGAGACACGGCCCAGACUCCUACGGGAGGCAGCAGUAGGGAAUAUUGCGCAAUGGACGGAAGUCUGACGCAGCGACGCCGCGUGAGCGAUGAAGGUCUUCGGAUCGUAAAGCUCUGUCCUUGGGGAAGAAGGCGAAAGCUUGACGGUACCCAAGAAGAAAGCCCCGGCUAACUACGUGCCAGCAGCCGCGGUAAUACGUAGGGGGCGAGCGUUGUCCGGAAUUACUGGGCGUAAAGGGUGCGUAGGCGGCCCUUUAAGUCGGAUGUGAA
rnacentral:rRNA from 1 species